GACGAACGCUGGCGGCGUGCUUAACACAUGCAAGUCGAGCGGAAAGGCCUCUUUCGGGGGGUACUCGAGUGGCGAACGGGUGAGUAACACGUGAGUAACCUGCCCUUGACUUUGGGAUAACUUCAGGAAACUGGGGCUAAUACCGGAUAGGAGCUCCUGCUGCAUGGUGGGGGUUGGAAAGUUUCGGCGUGUGGGGAUGGAUUCGCGGCGUAUCCGCUUAUCGGUGGGGUAAUGGCUUACCAAGGCUUUGCCGGGUAGCCGGCCUGUGAGGGUGACCGGCGACACUGGGACUGAGGUACGGCCCAGGCUGCGACGGGAGGCAGCAGUGGGGAAGAUUGCACAAGGGGUGGAAGCCGGAUGCAGCAAGGCCGUGCGCGGGAUGACGGUCUUCGGGUUGUAAAACGCUUUCGCACAUGACGGAGCUUUGUGUGACGGUAGUGGGUAAAGAAGCACCGGCUAACUACGUG
rnacentral:rRNA from 1 species